rnacentral:tmRNA from 1 species
GGGGCUGAUCGGUUUCGACUGCGCACGUCGAUGUAGGGGAAGCGUGUCGGUGCAGGCAAGAGACCACCGUCAAGCGUCGUUGCAACCAAUUAAGCGCCGAUUCCAAUCAGCGCGACUACGCCCUCGCCGCCUGAGCGACGGCUAGUCUGUCGGCCCGGAGAUGCUCCCGCUCCGGAUCCCGGCAUCAGCUAGGGAGCUCACCGUCCUACGCGGUCGCGGCGUAGGACGGGACAAACAACAGCGACUGGGAUCGUCAUCCUGGCUUGUUCGCGUGACCAGGAGAUCCGAGCAGAGGCUCAGCGGACUGCACACGGAGAAGCCCUACUGAAGCGGCGAAGGACCCGGGUUCGAUUCCCGGCAGCUCCACCG